AUUGAACGCUGGCGGAAUGCUUUACACAUGCAAGUCGAACGGCAGCACGGGUGCUUGCACCUGGUGGCGAGUGGCGAACGGGUGAGUAAUAUAUCGGAACGUAUCCAAUAAUGGGGGAUAACUAAUCGAAAGGUUGGCUAAUACCGCAUACGCCCUACGGGGGAAAGCAGGGGAUCUUCGGACCUUGCGUUAAUGGAGCGGCCGAUAUCUGAUUAGCUAGUAGGUGAGGUAAAGGCUCACCUAGGCGACGAUCAGUAGCUGGUCUGAGAGGACGACCGGCCAGACUGGAACUGAGACACGGUCCAGACUCCUACGGGAGGCAGCAGUGGGGAAUUUUGGACAAUGGGCGCAAGCCUGAUCCAGCCAUUCCGCGUGAGUGAAGGAGGCUUUCGGGUUGUAAAGCUCUUUCGCAAGGGAAGAAACGAUACAGUCUAAUAAACUGUGUUAAUGACGGUACCUUGAUAAGAAGCACCGGCUAACUACGUGCCAGCCGCCGCCGUAA
rnacentral:rRNA from 1 species